CAUGGGUGUUUUUAACUUUUGUGUUGCAGAUUUGCUUUAUGAUGUUGCCUGGUUUUGCAAAUUGAGCUAAAGUAGGAGAAAGUUAUGCAUAUUGAAGUCAUCUUGUCGGAACUAGAACAUGACUGGGUCAUCCUUGAAGUGUUGCUUAACUAAUUAGGCAAGGGAAAAUAACCAUUCAAAGAUUUCAAUCUGUUAUGUUGGAUCUAUAAUUUGAAGGGGAGCCUUGGAGUAACUUGUAAAAAUUGCUACUAUGUGAUCAGGAGAUCAUGGGUUUAAGCCUUGGAAACAGCCUCUGACAAAAGUGCAAGGUAAAGCUGCGUACAAUACACCCUUGUGGUGGGAACUUUCCUGACCCCGUGCAUAGCGGGAGUUUUAGUGCACCGGGCUGCUCAUGUCUGAUCUAUAAUUCAUGUGAUUGUCUGGAUUAUAUGUAUUGCCUUCUUUUAUAAGGCAGUCAUCUUGUCUUCGCUUUAUUUUUCUCCAUCUCAUCCUGAGGUGGGAUAGGCAGGAUAUGUAGGCAUUCAUGCUGAUUCUAUGUGGAAUACAAUGCACGUGGAUGUAUGAUUUAAAAAUUUUCUGUAAACCAACUUAUCUUUUCCUA